rnacentral:rRNA from 1 species
AACGAACGCUGGUGGCAUGCCUAACACAUGCAAGUCGAACGAGACCUUCGGGUCUAGUGGCGCACGGGUGCGUAACGCGUGGGAACCUGCCCUUAGGUUCGGAAUAACUCCCCGAAAGGGGUGCUAAUACCGGAUAAUGUCUUCGGACCAAAGAUUUAUCGCCUUUGGAUGGGCCCGCGUUGGAUUAGCUAGUUGGUAGGGUAAAAGCCUACCAAGGCGACGAUCCAUAGCUGGUCUGAGAGGAUGAUCAGCCACACUGGGACUGAGACACGGCCCAGACUCCUACGGGAGGCAGCAGUGGGGAAUAUUGGACAAUGGGCGAAAGCCUGAUCCAGCAAUGCCGCGUGAGUGAUGAAGGCCUUAGGGUUGUAAAGCUCCUUUACCCGGGAUGAUAAUGACAGUACCGGGAGAAUAAGCUCCGGCUAACUCCGUG